GGGGGAUGGAAGACUUGUGCCGGUUUUGCUGGAAGGAGAGAGAGAAAAGGAGGCUGGGGGUCGGCGGGGUUGACGUUUCUAUCCCCGCCCUCUCCCCCUAACACACACACACACACACACACACACACACACACACACACACACACACACACACACGCUCUCUUUAUCUUGGUAGCUUGGGCGCCGCCACAGCUCGGAUUACUCAAGCGUGCUUUAGCGGAAGCCAGCCAAGAAAUCUCCAAAACUCAGUGACAAACAGCUACUCUGGGAAGGUGAUCUCUACGGCCACCGGCCACAGGGCUCCGUCCCUGAGCUCCUCACGCCGCAGUAGCUAAAGCACCCUUAGCUGCAAGGAAAACACAGGUGCUGAACGUGUGGAGCUAUCCAUGGUUCUGAAUCCGACUCAGCAGUUGGCAACUCUUCUCUGCCUACAACCAACCAGGGACAAUAGAACUACAAACUCAGAUGUGAAAACUAAAGGUGAAAAGGGUUAAGAAACUUAACCAAGAUUUCAUAGCUAGCAUGUGGCAGAACUAUGGUUUGUCAAAGAUCAGAUGGUUGUAGAUGUGUGGUGUUAUUUCUGAGGCCUCUGUUCUACUCACAAUAGCAAAGACUUGGAACCAACCCAAAUGUCCAUCAACAAUAGACUGGAUUAAGAAAAUGUGGCACCAUGGAAUACUAUGCAGCCAUAAAAAAGGAUGAGUUCAUGUCCUUUGCACGGACAUAGAUGAGGCUGGAAACCAUCCUUCUCAACAAACUAUCACAAAGACAGAAAACCAAACACCACAUGUUCUCACUCAUAGGUGGGAACUGAGCAAUGAGAGCACUUGGACAAAGGGUGGGGAACAUCACACACUGGGGCCUGUCGGUGUGUGCGGGCUGGAGGAGGGAUAGCAUUAGGAGAAAUACCUAAUGUAAAUGACGAGUUGAUGGGUGCAGCACACCAACAUGGCACAUGGCACCUAUGUAUCAAACCUGCACGUUGUACACAUGUACCCUAGAACUUAAAGUAUAAUAAAAAAUAAAAUAAAAUUAUCUUGAGAUCA
rnacentral:lncRNA from 1 species